GACGAACCGUGCGAACGUUGUUCGGAAUCACUGGGCUUAAAGGGCGCGUAGGCGGGCUCGCCAGUCAGGGGUGAAAUCCCCGCGGCUCAACCGUGGAAGUGCCUCUGAUACUGCGAGUCUCGAGGGAGGUAGGGGCGUGCGGAACUUCCGGUGGAGCGGUGAAAUGCGUAGAUAUCGGAAGGAACACCGGUGGCGAAAGCGGCGCGCUGGACCUCUUCUGACGCUGAGGCGCGAAAGCCAGGGGAGCAAACGGG
rnacentral:rRNA from 1 species